AAACAAUUAAACGCUUAUUGAUGUUAAGAGUAACAAUGGACUAAAACUAUAAUCUCAGUUUAAUCUAUAUAUAGGGCAAUUAGUUUUACAAAACAUUGGACUGGGAUCAUUUUAGAUGAUACCAGUUGUUUUGAUAGUAUAGUUUACAUGGGGCAAUGGCUAAUUUCAGUAACAUAUUCAUGCCACUCUUGAAAAGGUGAACCUGAAUCCUUGUAUGGAUGCCAUGCUUUCUCUACCUUUUUAAUAUAUAGCUACUACAAUUUGGGUUUAUGUUUUUUCAGAGAGUUCAGAUAUCAUCAGUCCAAUCACUAAUCUCACUUUCGUAGAAUAGGCCAUCCACAAUCUCAUCAAUUAGUGAAUCAAUGAAUGUAUUGCAACUUGUGGUGAAGAUACGGCCUACUCUAUUGCGAGCACUGGAGAACCAAGCGAAAAUUGCAGCGCAGGUCACUGCUCCUAAGCACACACCACCUGCUUCAGCAAUCCCUUGUAAAUCCAUCUUUCUGAAAACUGAGUUUCCAGUCACCAAUUCUGUUCCUACAGUUGCAGCAAACACAAUCUGCAGGAAAUAUAACCCAUCUUGAUUACAAUUAAACACAAAUUUUCACGAUAAAAGGAAUAAUGGAUUUCUAUCGAAUCAUAUUUUGUACAUCCUUGAUUCUUAAUUAUUGCUGGUUUUGUCUUCAAAUUCAAUGAACUGCAAAUUAUUUUUCCCCAAUCUUUUUGUUAAAUGAACCCUUAUGUAAUAUGCUUAUUUUUAUUUUCCAUAUAUGAGAACUGACAAUUGAAUUCUCGCAAAAUUUUACAUUCUAAACGGAAAAAAGUGAACAAAAUAGAAUGGAAAAGUAAACCAAUCACACAGUCCUGAUUGCUCUCAGCACACCACUCAUACGAUAACCGCAGUCAGCUAUAAAGAAUCAUUCAAACGUUAUACUAUAGUAGAUGAAGAGAUUUCUCACCAUGGCUAGCCGACCAGAAAUGAUCUCGAAAUCGUGACUCUUCUUAGAGCUUUCGAUAUACUCCGAUAAAGUCUCAAAAAACGGCGAUACCUCAUCUCCGCCGUCCUUUCUGGUCUUCACCACCGCAAAACGAUCCUCACCGUACGAUCUCAGCGUACACAGCCUUGGCUGCAAUAUAAUCUUCGCGUUUUGAUCCGUUUCCCCCAGCUUUAUCUUUGGAGCAGGAACCUGAACCGAAACCGGAGUCUCUCUCCUCAAAACGGCAGGUUUCUGCGCACCGAGCUCACAGUGAAUUGCACGCGCCAUCGUGGCCAUUCACAGAAAGAGGUAGAAAUUGUUACAAGGUAUUGUUUGGCUGAUUCUUUGAAUCUCUGAGAUUAUAUGUUUCAUUACAAGUUAG
rnacentral:misc_RNA from 1 species